CAGAAAUUAAAAAGGAAAAGAGUCUCUAAAGUGACAGAUUCGGCAAAAAAGCGUAGGAAAAUCGAAUGGUCCAAGGCAAGAGUGCAUGUUGGGAGCCAAAUACAUCGGUGGCGACAGUUGAAAAUUGCAUGUGGGAUUAAAACAGAUGCCAAAUUUGCUAAACAUUUGCUCGACAGAUAUACAACAGCACAAGUACCUCCAGCAACAACCACUGGUAGCAGUCCACAUGUAGUGAUGCCCUUUCCAGGAACAUCAGGACAAAUGACAUCCACAUCAGCUAGUACCACCCAGCGUUUUCCAGGUCCACAGUUUCAGAAAUAUCAUCUGAAUCUGGGUUGACUGAUGUGGAUAAACCAGAGUUAUCAGGAUUGGAAGAACUUCAAGAAGAGAAAAAUAGUGAUGGGUAAGAUACAU